rnacentral:rRNA from 1 species
AUUGAACGCUGGCGGCAGGCCUAACACAUGCAAGUCGAGCGGAUGAGAAGAGCUUGCUCUUCGAUUCAGCGGCGGACGGGUGAGUAAUGCCUAGGAAUCUGCCUGGUAGUGGGGGACAACGUUUCGAAAGGAACGCUAAUACCGCAUACGUCCUACGGGAGAAAGCAGGGGACCUUCGGGCCUUGCGCUAUCAGAUGAGCCUAGGUCGGAUUAGCUAGUUGGUGAGGUAAUGGCUCACCAAGGCUACGAUCCGUAACUGGUCUGAGAGGAUGAUCAGUCACACUGGAACUGAGACACGGUCCAGACUCUUACGGGAGGCAGCAGUGGGGAAUAUUGGACAAUGGGCGAAAGCCUGAUCCAGCCAUGCCGCGUGUGUGAAGAAGGUCUUCGGAUUGUAAAGCACUUUAAGUUGGGAGGAAGGGCAGUAAGCUAAUACCUUGCUGUUUUGACGUUACCGACAGAAUAAGCACCGGCUAACUCUGUGCCAGCCGCCGCCGUAAGAC